AUGAAGAAUCUGAACAUCCACAGAAAGAACCUGGAGAAGGGCUGCAAGUGUAUUGCCACUGAGCUGGACCAGAGCACAGGGGCCAUGCCAGGGCUGGGGGGAGAUGGGUUGUCCACCCAUCUGCCCUGUGUCGAGAAAGCAGCCCUGUCUGCUAAGCCUACGCUCGUUACACCCGGCAGAUUCCUGCACCAGCCCUGCCCACCACAGGGCCAGCUCCAGGUGCUGCCCCACGGGUUUUGGUCCGAGUCUCAGUCACCGUGGUAUGUCUUCGGCAGCAGGACCAAGGUCAUUGUCACAGGUCAGCCCGCGGUGACCCCCUCAGUCACUCUGUUCCCGCCCUCCUCUGAGGAACUCAAGGACAACAAGGCUACCCUGGUGUGUCUGAUCAAUGAUUUCUACCCCAGCACUGUGAAGGUGAACUGGAAGGCAGAUGGCAACUCUGUCACCCAGGGCAUGGACACCACCCAGCCCUCCAAACAGAACAACAACAAGUACGCGGCCAGCAGCUUCCUCAGCCUGUCAGCCGAUCAGUGGAAAUCCUACCAGAGUGUCACCUGCCAGGUCACGCACGAGGGCCACACUGUGGAGAAGAGCCUGGCCCCUGCAGAAUGCUCCUAGGGCCCCACCCUCACCCACUCCCAGGGGCCAGGAGCUGCAGAACCUUCCAUUCACUCCCCCCUGUCAUCCCAGCCCUUCCCCUUGCACCCAAUAAACUCUCAAUAAAUAUCCUCACUGUCAAUCAGA